UACGUAGGGUGCAAGCGUUGUCCGGAAUUAUUGGGCGUAAAGAGCUCGUAGGCGGUCUGUCGCGUCGGCUGUGGAAUCUCGGGGCUCAACCCCGAGCCUGCAGUCGAUACGGGCAGACUAGAGUGCUGUAGGGGAGACUGGAAUUCCUGGUGUAGCGGUGAAAUGCGCAGAUAUCAGGAGGAACACCGGUGGCGAAGGCGGGUCUCUGGGCAGUAACUGACGCUGAGGAGCGAAAGCGUGGGGAGCAAACAGG
rnacentral:rRNA from 1 species